UACGUAGGGUGCAAGCGUUGUCCGGAAUUAUUGGGCGUAAAGAGCUCGUAGGUGGCCUGUCGCGUCGGCUGUGAAAACUCGGGGCUCAACUCCGAGCUUGCAGUCGAUACGGGCAGGCUAGAGUUCGGCAGGGGAGACUGGAAUUCCUGGUGUAGCGGUGAAAUGCGCAGAUAUCAGGAGGAACACCGGUGGCGAAGGCGGGUCUCUGGGCCGAUACUGACACUGAGGAGCGAAAGCGUGGGGAGCAAACAGG
rnacentral:rRNA from 1 species